GUCGGCCCCUAAUUGGGUUUUUAUUUAAUUUUAUGUAUUACGGUAUUAAAUUACCGAAAAGCCUUUAAAAACUUACCAUUAAGACAGGCAGUUCUUUCAUUCAAGCGUUGUCUCUUUAUCCAUCGUCGAAUUUCCAGUACAGCGAUGUUAAGACGACUGCCCAACCGGAACUUCUCCGGAAUGAACGGUUUGUUUGAAAAGGUUGUCCUCUCUUACAGAUUGGAACGUUUCAACCGGUAAAUGUUGUCCAUUUACAUAUUUUUAAAAUUUUUUCACCAGUUCCAGGCUCUUCUCGAUUUAACAAUUGAAAUUAUUAAAUGGAAAGCGAAUAAUCCGAAUGGGAUUUUCUAUCCGAAAUUUUGCUUACCAUUAGCACAAUUUCAAACCGGAUGGGUUUUCCAUGUAAAUGGUAAACAACCACAAUGUUUGAAUUACAUGAAGUAGUCGGUA